rnacentral:rRNA from 1 species
GACGAACGCUGGCGGCGUGCUUAACACAUGCAAGUCGAACGGAAAGGCCCUGCUUUUGUGGGGUGCUCGAGUGGCGAACGGGUGAGUAACACGUGAGUAACCUGCCCUUGACUUUGGGAUAACUUCAGGAAACUGGGGCUAAUACCGGAUAGGAGCUCCUGCUGCAUGGAGGGGGUUGGAAAGUUUCGGCGGUUGGGGAUGGACUCGCGGCUUAUCAGCUUGUUGGUGGGGUAGUGGCUUACCCAGGCUUUGGCGGGUAGCCGGCCUGGGAGGGUGACCGGCCACAUUGGUCCUGAGAUACGGCCCAGCGUCCUCCGGUAGGCAGCAGUGGCGAAUAUUGCACAAUGGGCGGAAGCCUGAGGCAGCAACGCCGCGAUCGGGAUGACGGCUUUCUGGUUGUAAACCGCAUUCGCCUGUGACGAAGCGUGAGUGACGGUAAUGGGUAAAGAAGCACCGGCUAACUACGUG